AAACCAACAGGGAUUGCCCUAGUAACGGCGAGUGAAGCGGCAGAAGCUCAAAUUUGAAAUCCGGCUCCCCUGGGGGCUCGAGUUGUAAUUUGUAGAGGGUGCUUUGGCGCUGGCAGCGGUUCAAGUUCCUUGGAACAGGACGUCGCAGAGGGUGAGAAUCCCGUAUGUGGCCGCCUGCCGCCGCCUUGUAAAGCCCCUUCGACGAGUCGAGUUGUUUGGGAAUGCAGCUCUAAAUGGGAGGUAAAUUUCUCCUAAAGCUAAAUACCGGCCAGAGACCGAUAGCGCACAAGUAGAGUGAUCGAAAGAUGAAAAGCACUUUGGAAAGAGAGUCAAAAAGCACGUGAAAUUGUUGAAAGGGAAGCGCUUGCAGCCAGACGUGCCUGCGGUUGUCCUCUUCCGUAGGCAGGCCAGCAUCAGCCUGGGCGAUUGGAUAAAGGCCUCUGUCAAGUAUCUCCCUCCGGGGUGACCUUAUAGGGGAGGUGCCAUGCAAUCAGCCCGGACUGAGGUCCGCGCAUCCGCUAGGAUGCUGGCGUAAUGGCUGUAAGCGGC
rnacentral:rRNA from 1 species